rnacentral:rRNA from 1 species
GACGAACGCUGGCGGCGUGCUUAACACAUGCAAGUCGGACGGUGAAGCGAGUGCUUGCACUCGUGGAUCAGUGGCGAACGGGUGAGUAACACGUGAGUAACCUGCCCAUCACUCUGGGAUAAGCACUGGAAACGGUGUCUAAUACUGGAUACGACCAACCCUUGCAUGGGGUGUUGGUGGAAAGAUUUAUCGGUGAUGGAUGGACUCGCGGCCUAUCAGCUUGUUGGCGGGGUAAUGGCCCACCAAGGCGACGACGGGUAGCCGGCCUGAGGGGGUGACCGGCCACACUGGGAAUAAGACACGGCCCAGACCCCGCCGGGAGGCGGCAGUGGGGAAUAUUGAACAAGGGGCGAAGGUCGGAUGCAGCGACCCCGGGUGGGGAAGGACGGCUUUCGGGUUGUAACCCUCUUUCAGCGGGAAAGAGGCAAAAGUGAGGUUACCUGCAGAAGAAGCCCGGGCAAACUACGUG